UAAAACAUAACUCUGCACCACAAACAACAAUCAGAACAAUAACAAAACAACAUUAGAGUUGACACUCUAUCCUAGGUGGCUCAACACGAAUCUACUACUUGGCCGGACGGACCAACCUGCUCUGAUACCAAUUGUAACACCCCGUUAUUCCAAACUUAAUAAUAAUAAUAAAUAAUCAGAGUUAAACACGAACGGGCAUGUCACACUACUUUUCAAAAUUUCUUAAAUAGAAUAAAAUACUAUUUAAUUAAAACAACUUCAUAAAAUAUCAAAACAUAGCAACGGAAUAGUUUUCAAAUCUUUAUCAUCGUAAACAUCCAACAACAUUUUAUGGCACGAAAGGCCUCAACAUAAAGUCAACAACAUUGUUCAAAUAACAAUAAAAAGGCUCCACAGCAUAAUUCCAAAAUUGAUACAUAAGGAAUGAAAAUAAAGAUAACUAAUUCCCAUCCCGUACGUAUCAGAGCCCUAGACAGUUGAGCCACCACACCUACUACUCGGAAUCACCUGCACGUUACCCACGGUCGAGGCAACAUUCAAACAGAAGGGAUGAGAUUCACAAUCAACAAUAAUAGACAUAAAAUUAAUCAAUUGAAUCUAACACCCUAUUAUAAUCAACAUUUCAAUAUUUAAAUAUAUUUCGUGUUCACAUCAAAUUCAUCAUAAUCAUCUUCAACCAAUUACGUAGAAAGUAUCAUUCAAUCACCAACAAUGACUCAUGCAAUGGCAUGACAACACCACCAAGACUCCUCGACAAAUGCAACUAGACACAUGCAUGUGGUACCAUUUUACAGGACAUAAGCCCUCACCGGAUUUUGAAUGGUUAAAGCAUUCACAGGACCGAAGUCCUCACCAAUUUUGAACGACAAGGCGUUCCAGAACCGAAGUUCUCACCGCUUUUGGACGACAAGGCAUCCCAGGACAAAGUCCUCACCGCUUUAUAUGCAUAUGCAAUGGACUCCACUUGCGUAUAUCUACAUACGACUUAACAAUGCAUAUAUGUAUAUAUGACUUACAACUCCGCAUUUUAAACAACAUGUAUGAUUUAGCAAAUGCAACAUACAUCAGAACAUCUUAAUCAUCAAAUCUCUUAUACAUCCAAUAAUUUGGAGUUCAUCAUCAUUUUAAUUAUCUUAUUCAGACUCAUGCAACUUAGUUAAUUAACAAUAGCAGCAUAAUCAGAUCACAUCAACAGCUUAAUAUCAAUUCAUCUUCAACAACUUCUUGAUCAUUCAAUAAUAAUUCAAGUAAUGCAAUCAAUCAAUAAAUCACAUUAUAAUCACUUAGCAUUUCAUAAUAGCUUCACAGUUCUCAGUUAAUAUCUUAAAUAGGUCUCAUUAGUACCUAAAGUUCCUUUCCUAAUCAAUCCAAGCAACUCAGGUCUCAAAAUCCUCAAAUGCACUCAGUUCUGGAAGUGCUCCCGAGGCGAGAGCAUCUGCUCGCCAUGGCGAGUACAAGCCAGAUUCCCAACUAAGGUUGUUCCAGGUUCAAUCUUUUUCAAAAUCAUCCUCUAAUCUUUAGUAGACACCUAAAGGUACUCAAAGGCAUCUAAGGUUCAACUCAAAAGUCAAAAACUCAGAAUUCGACAUGCUCUCUGGUCAUGCUCGCUAUGGCGAGUAGGGUUGCUCGCUGUGGCAAGCUAUGACAUGUAACUCGCAAGGCGAGGGGUUUUGGCUCGCGUGGCGAGCGAUGAACUUCAUCACUCGCGAGGCGAGGAUCAUCGUUCGCUAGGGCGAGCGAUGAAUGUUGGCUCGAGCAGAAAGCAGUUUUCUUCAAAAAUUCAUCUAAACUCAUGGUUUUAAGCCUAGUUUCGGUUCCAGAAUUCAUCCUAAACAUAUUCUAAUGUCAAGGGACAGUUUCUACAUCAAUCUAAUCAAUUUUUACCGUUUGAUCAUCAAUUUUAGGGAUUUGACCUAAUUUCAAAACUUUCUAAUUCAAUCCUAACUUUGUCAAUUAAUCAUCAUAAUCAUAGAAAUUAACAUUACUGAAUUAUUAGUCUCACCCUUACCAUAAUUGAUGAAAAUCGCAGCUCUCCUAGGUGUUCUUGCUCUUCUCUUGGCUUUUCCUCCUUUUCUCCAAAAACAGUCGUACGUACAAAACGUUUUCUAAACCUAGGUCUUUCCUUUUUAUAUCUCUUCUUAAUAUCUUAUCUUAUCUCACUUUCUCCCCCAAAACUCUCUAAAAUCUCAAAACAGCCCUCAACUAAAUAUUUUAUUUUAUUUUCAAAUCUUAUUUUAUUUAACAAUAAAAUAAGUCUCAUAAUCUCAUCAAAUCAUCCAAAUCAUCUAAAUCAACAAAACUCACAUAUAUUAUAUAAAUAUAAUAUAAUCAUCUAAACUCGAUUAAAUAAUUAACUAAACGAAAGUGGGCGUUACACCAGACCUGCCCCCAAUGAGGAUCGGGUUUCCCGACCCGACCCCGCCCCCACCUGCAAAUUGUAGAGAAAUUUUUUUUUGUUUUGGCUCAUAAUAAAAUGGGUUUUUCAACCAUUCAACUUUAAUUGCAAACUAAGCAAGAAAUCUAAUCCAAAUUAAAAAUAAACAUUUACUCUCCUAACACUUUUAUGAUGAGUAUUAUCCACAUAAUGUUGGCUUGAACCGAAUUGAAGUAGAGGGUUUGAUGCUCUGGAAUGUAUAAUCAUUCAUAUUAAAGUAGAGGGCUUGAUGUUCUGGAAUGUAUAAUCAUUCAUAUUAAAGUUGAAGGUUUGAUGCUCUGAUGGUACCACAUACAUAUUGCAUUUGUAUGAGUUGUUGUUGAUGUGUUGUUGAGUAAAGUUAAUUGAUGAUUUAUAGUUGGAAUUAUGUGAAGCAUUGUUGAUGAUGAUUUGAAUGAUGAUGAUUAAUUUAUCUUGACGAUGAGAAUAAUAAAGUAUAAUUAUGAUGAUGAUUUGCCGUUGUUUUGUGUUGCUGAAUUCUCUUACUUAAACUAUUAUUUAUUAGUAUUGUUAAUGAUGAAUUGAUGUUAUUUUAUGUUGAUAAAUUCUCUUAUCUAAAUUAUUGUUUAUUAGUAUUGCUAAUGAUGAAUAGAUGUUGUUAUGUGUUGUUAAAUUCUUUUAUAGAAUUAUAUUGCUUAUUAUUAUUGAAUAUCUCACCCCUUCUGUUUGAAUGUUGCCUCUACGUGGGUAACGUGCAAAUACUUAGAGUAACCGCUGAUGUGAGUUGAUUUCUCGUGUCGUCUUAGGAGUCGCUCUGAUACGUAACGAGAUGAGGACUUUUGAUGUUUAUUUCCUUUGUUACGUAUUUAUCUUUAUGAAUUUAAUGUUGGACCAAUUUGUUGGAUUUAAUGACAUUGUCUAAGUUGAGGCCUUACACUAUGUUUGGUAGAGGAGAAAAAGGAGAGAGAGAAGUUGAAGAGAGAGAAAUAGGAGAGAAGUCCUACACUUCUCUUGUUUGGUUCUGGUGAGAAAGAGAGAAGAGAGAGUUAAAACCUGUGGGACCCACUGUUUUUUUAGCCUUCCCAUGGAUGAGAAGAAACAGGGGAGAGAAUUGCAAUAUUUGUUAUUUUCCAAUUAUGCCCCUCUAUUGCAUAAAAAAAGACAAAAACGCAAAUAUAAAUGGUUAUGCUAUCAUGUAUGUGAAUGUUAUUGCACUUUUAAUUAAUUUCAUAAUAAAGUUUCCUAAUUUUUUUUUUUAACUUAGCAAUAAAAAUAAUAUGAACCACACUUCCCUAUAAAAAAUUAACCUAUUUUCUUAGGGACUAUAAUUGAACUGUUUAUUAAUUAACAUAAUUAAUUAAUCAAAAUUAUUCAUUUUUAAUUAACGUUGAUAAAAAAAUGUAUUGCAGGUAACAUAAAUUAUUUAUUUGCCAAAAGGGAACAUAAAUUAUGUUUUUCUACUCCAAACAAUUAUUUAGUUUCAUUUUACUUUGUUUAAGGGUAUUAUUGUCCUUUAAAAGCAAUUAUAUUAUUCUCUCACUUCUAUCUCUCUUAUCUUUCUCUUCGACCAAACAACCCCUCAUAUCUACUCUAUUUCUCAUAUACUUCUCUCUUCUCAAUCUCUCUCUCACCUAUUUCUCUCUUCACAACUUCUCUUCCAAACCAAACACACCUUAGUGCCAAUUUUGUUGAAAGAAUAAUGAAAUGUUUUUCCGCUGCGAUGUGAUUUGAAUUAUUGAUAAAAGAUGUUUUAAAUAAAAUUUUACUCUAUUUAUCUUUUAAAGAAGUGUGACAUCCUGUUUAAGUUGAAUCUUCUGAUUAUUAUGUAUUAUUUUGCAUGUUGUGAGAACAGGGUGUUACAACACAUCCCUCUACUUAAAUCAUUAAAACACUACUCAGCUCACUAACUACAUUUCUUUUCAAUUCAAUUUUACUAAUCCACCUCCGUUCACACUCUACUUCUUUAUUCUUUCUAAAAACUCUAUUUUCUUCCUAAAUAUUAUUUUCUCUCACUCUUUUUAAUUAAAGUUCUAUUUUAUAUAUACUAUCCUUUUUAGUCCAAUGUCUCUAUCCCAAUUAACUAAAUAAAACCUCACCCAAACAUGCCAAAACUAAUUUAAUUCAAUCAAAAUAAAAAUAAUGUCACACAAUCAACAAUACUACUAAAAAUAAUAAUACUAUAUUAUCUAAUAAACUAAUUUUAAAAAUUGGGGUGUUACAACUCUUCCCCACUUAAAGAAUUUUAGUCCUCGGAAAUUACCUGACUCAAACAACAAACAAGUACGGACAGUGUUUACACAUAUGUCCUAAAAAAAAUAUAAAUUUCGUCUGACUGGACCGAUAUGCUCUGAUACCAUUACGUAACACCCUAAAACCCACAUAUCAAUUCUAGUAAAAAUAUAAUAAUUAUUAAAGCAUGUAAGGGUGUCGCACAUCUUCAUCAAAUCAAAAGUACUUUAUUUAGAUAAAAAAAAAAAAACGUCGCAGCGGAAUAGUUUUCAAAAACUUUAAAGUAUACAUCUCAUCAUAGUUUCAACAAAAUCUGAAUACAAUAGAAUUCAAAAACAUAGUCUAAAUAAAAUAAAUCCUCAAUCCCUAGUGUCAUAGAUCAGAGCAUCGACUCGAUAAAGACUCCCAAAAGCGAUAAGUAAACGAGUAGGCUCCAAAGCCAUCCUCCAAGACUCACUGCUAUUAAACUUCUUCUUCCUGCAAAUCUACACCACAAGGGUGCAGGCGCCCAACCCGCCUCUAGAGGGUGAGAAUAUACUCAACAUAAGAGGCGCCCAACCUUUGGAGAUUUUGUUCGGAUAGACAGGUAGAGACAGUUGAAGAGAUGAAGUAAAUAAGCUUCUUUUGUCUAAAGAAGGUCCAGAUUGACAGUGGUUGGGAGACGAAAGUCGGUUGCGGCAGUGGAGAGAUGGAAGAAGGGAUUGUAUUUCAGAAUUAUGGGUUUAGAGAAAAAGAAGACGAGAUUAGAAAGUUGUCGGUUAGUGAUAGGAGCUUCGGCCUUGCCCAAUUUUAUACUCCUAAAACUGUGGUGUUAACAAUAUGUCCAAAUGUUUUACGUUUUUUUUUUAACAUAAUACAAUAAUUUCAAACUUAGAGAUUAAACCAUUUAAUUUUUUUUUGAAAGAAGCAUAUAAUUUAAUUUUUGAAAUAACUACAUCGUGAAAUAUAUCGCCAAUAAUUUAAGCAAUGUACUUUAUAAUUUAAAAUAAUUAUAAAAAUUGAAUAAUUAAUUUACACAUAGUAAAUUGGAAUGUAGAUCAUUAAACGUAAUCGCAUGGUUUUUUCUUAUGACUAUCAAAUAUCAUCCAAUUAGCCUAAUUUGCACUUGAUCCAAGAGUUUGAAGGUCCUAAUUUGAGUCUUCAAGUCGGUUCAAGUCAACAUUAUGUGGAUAAUACGUAUCAAAGUAUUCGGAGAAGAAAUGACCAUGAAAAUGAAGUGUUUCUUAGUAACCACAAAUUAAUAUUUCAAGAAUAUUAAUGUUCAUAUGUAUAUGAAGAAAGGAAUAAUAAGAGAGAGAAAAGAAGUAUUACCUCUCUGAUUUGGAAGGAAGUUUGAUUAAAAUGUCAUGAAAUAAUAGACUAUAUAUCAUUGUUGAAGAUGGUAACGGUGAUGGUAACGGUGAAGAUAUGUAUGUCAUUGUUGUAGCAACCAAAGCAUGUGCAAACAAUUUUUUUGGUGGGAUACAGUUUGUGGAGUGUGCAACCACGGUGGAGGGAGGAGGAGGUUUCACCGUGGAAGCCAAUUCUGAUUGCCAAUCAAAAGCCAUGGCAGGCUUGUGUGAUUGAGGGUGCAAAACGGCAAAGGAAACAAGAAGAAAGGUGAAAUCGAUCAGUCUAGGAAACCCUAACGGGAAACCCUAGAAGAGCGAAGAAGAACAAUCGCAUCUACAAAAGUUUCAUUAACUGUGUCCUCCAUAUCCACAUUUUGUAUUUAUGCAUCUCCAAAAUUUUUAUUUAUUGUGUCUUCCAUAUCCACAUCUUGUAUUUGUCCAUCUUCAAAAUUUUCAUCAACUUCCACAUUAUCUGUAACCAAAGUGAUAUUAUAAUUUAUGACAUAACAAAUGUAAAUAUUUGAUAUAUUCUACAAAAGUAUUGGAGUUACCAUAUUCCGGUUCAUAAUAUUCUGGCUCAUCAUAUUCUGAUUCAUUAUCAUGAGUUCCUUGAAAAGUUGAUGCAUUAUUAAGAUCUGGUAGUGUAGGGUCAUUAAUUUUGUUUUCAUCACUAACCAAGUGUAGGGUCAUUAAUAUGUAUGGUACUUGAUUCUGCUUCGUUGUCAUGGGUCCUUGAAAGUGUAUAUUUGAAAAAUUCAUAGCUGUGAAAAUUUGAUUGGGCACAUUUGGCUCAAUGAUAUCAUUAGUGCAUGAUAUUUCAACUUCAUUUCCUUUUUCUUUUCCUUUCCUUACUUUCUGGUGAUCCUCCCUCGAUAGUUGACUUUUGCUAUUUCUCAUUUUUCUAAUAAGAACUGUCAAAAUUAAAAGAUUAAUAAUUAAUAAUAAAAGAGAUUUUCGUUUUUUGUUUUAAAGGGGUAAUAAUGAAAGAGUUAGUAAAAGUACCAUGCAUAUAUUUAUUUAUUUUAACAAAAGAAGACAUGAAUUUUUAAUAUUUUUUAUCAAUGUAUGACUUUGAUAUUUGUUCAAAAAGCGACAUCCAUCAUUGCUCCAUUUAGGUUUGCUCUAUUUGAAGGUGAGAAAAACACAAGAAGGAGGGGUUGAAUUGUGCUAGCUUUUUUUUAGUUUUCUUCUAAGCUGAAAACACUGAUCAGAAGAAAAUAGAGUUCGGCUUCUGAAGUGAUUUCCAGAACUAAGUAGUAGCGGAUAAAACAGAGAGAGAGAGAGAGAGAAAGAAGAAAGACACAAAGCAAUUAUACAGGUUCCUUCCACAAAUCGGAAGUCAGUCCUGUCCCCCUUGCACUUCCAAGGAGAUUUCAAUAAAAUGUAAUAUCUGAUUACAAAUGUUCACUGCUAAACUUAACAAGAGACUUCAAAUGCUCAAGCACAACUGCAAGAGACUUCCUAUGCUCUUGAACACAAUCAAGAGACUUCUAAUGCUCAAGCACAACUGCAAGAGACUUUCAAAUUCAAACAGAUUUACAAAGAAAAAUGUUUGAGGUUGAACACUUGAUAUACAAUCAGUGGUGUUCACAAUACAAAUCAGAUACAAACUCUUAAGACUCUAGAAUUUCUAAGAUAUGAACUUUGAUAAAAAAUUCUAAGUGAACUUUUGAUAUAGAACAAUUUUGACAGAGUUUAGGCGCUUUCAAAUUGUUGUUGAGUCCUUGCCAUUCUCUAAGUCUUCACUCCUUUAUAUAGAGGUGUGAAAGAGACGUUGUGAAUUGCCAGCACAUCAAAAUAGAGUCGUUUGAAGCUUUGAUCAAUCACCAAUGAUCUUUUGCCUGAUAUGGUUAUUGUCAUAUGAAGGAUCAAAUUCAAAUCCAUUCCCAGUAUGUAGGAACAUUGUUGCAGGCAGGACUGUUAUCCUUGUCUUGUAGUAGAGACACAAACUGAGUAGUGGAGAUAGUGGUUGUACACUUCGUGCAAUUGUAAUUUGUCAACGCUCUUCAAAAAACACGCAUCCAAUGCAUUCAAAUCCUUUCAAAAUAGUUGUUACUUCACUCUUUCAGUCUUCUGCAAUGCUUAGACAAGAUUAAAUCCAUUGAACAUCCUUUGAAGCUUGAAGUCUUGCAUCUCUUGAUGACCUACAACUUCUGGUGAUCUUCAGCUUCUGAUGAGAUGCUUCUGAUGAACUUGCUUUUAAUGACGUCAUCACUUCAGGAGCACUUUGGCUUCAGGAGCACUUCUCUUCAGACGCUUUAAGCUUCCUUUUUGUUGAUUUCAUUGCUCUCUUUUGUUCUUCCAGAACCUAAUAAUGAUUCCAAAUUUUUGUCUAUGGUCCUGUACACUUGAACAAAUAUUAGCAUAUCCAAUUGACAAUAUUAAUACUUUGUUAUCAUCAAAACUCUCAAAGGGUAAUGUUAAACAUAUUUUGUUCCAACACUAUUCACCCAAUUUCAAUACAUAGAUAUAUGACAUGUUGCCAAAACAAAUUUAAGUAUUAAGAUUAAAUAGAAUGUGAGAGCUAAUGUAUAUGUGAGAUUGUUCUGGGGCUAUGCUACAACAACAGCAGUGAGGGAAGGCCAUUUGAAAAUAUUGGAGGUCCUUAUCAAUGGUGGGACUCACAACUUGCAUGUGAAGAGGACAGCCAUUGCUGACUAAACUAACUACAAAAAAAAAACUUGAGUGGGGAAACAAAGAUCACAUAGAAAGCAUAAAGGAGUUGAGUGAUAGAGUUUUCAAUGUCAUCAUCGGCACCGACAUUACAAACUUUGCUGAAGCUAUAAUGUCUUUAUUAAACAAAAUAAUGAUUUAUUUAAUAAUUAAUAAAAACAACAGUUUUCUUUAUAUAUAUAAAAAAAAAAAAAAAAAAAACCACGCUAUAAACAAUUAUAAACUAGCAAAGUCAAAUAAUCCUUGAAAUUAAUCGUAAACAAUUUGAAUCAUAAUCACUUAUAAACCAGCAAAGUCAAAUAAUCCAUAAAAUUAAUCGAAUUUAAUUAGUUGUAACAUGAAAGGAAAAGAAAAAAACUUACAGGUUAAUUCUGAAUUCUGAUGUAGAGGGCUGAGAGAGUUGAGAAAAACAAAACAAUGCGGAAACGAACUAUGAACUGUGAAAAACCUACUUAUUAAUAUUUAUUUAAUAUAGUGAUAACAAAUCUUCUUCUAAAAAAUUUUUGAGUCCUAAUCUUUUUUUUUAGAUGAUUUAAAGUUCAAUCUUUAACAAUAUUUUUUGCUCACGUUUGUUACCAAUCUUUUUUUUAGAGAAUUUAAAGUCCAAUCUUUAACAUUAUUUUUUGCUCACAUUUGUUACUAAUUUUUUUUAGAGGAUUUAAAGUCCAAUCUUUAACAAUAUUUUUUGCUCACGUUAAUUUGUUACUAAUCUUUUUUUUUUAGAGGAUUUAAAGUCCAAUCUUUAACAUUAUUUUUUGCUCACGUUUGUUAAUAAUCUUUUUUAGAGGAUUUAAAUUCCAAUCUUUAACAAUAUUUUUUGCUUAAGUUUGUUGCUAAUCUUUUCUUUAGAGGAUUUAAAGUCCAAUCUUUAACAUUACCUUUUUCUCACGUUUGUUACAAUUGAUCAACGGCUAAGGAAUAGUACCUUAUAUUAAUAAAACAAAAUAAUAUGAAAAUACUGUUUUUUGUGUAAGGGAUAUGAAAAUACUUGGCAAUCUUUGUCGGUUGUAUUGAGGGGAACAACACAGAUGUACAACAAUUUUUUUUUAGGGAAACACAGAUGUACAACAUAAAAGUGGCUUAUAAAAAAGUAACAUGGAUUUUUAUUUUGUGCUAGUUUUUGUGAGUUUGAUCUGUGGUUACGGAGGUAAAAGAGGGUUAAUGGGGACGAUUAGUGACAUGAAUUAGUAAUUCAUGUGUUAUUUUAUAAUUGGCUAACAGUAAGAACAGUUAAUAAGAAACUGUGUGUAAGUUUUCUCCUUAAAUUAAAUUUAUUGUUAUAUAUUUGUUACAUGUGUUACUUGUAUUUGAAAUAAAUUUAAAAUUAAGGGUAGUUUUGGAAAGAAAAGUCCAACCCAAAAGUGUGCUGAAAGGGGUAGUUUUCUUUAUAUAUAGUAUAGAUAUAGAUAUAUUUGUUAUAUGUGUUACUUGUAUUUGAAAUAAAAUUAAAAAUUAAAAUUAAGGGUAUUUUUAAAAAGAAAAUUUCUUUACUUCCUCAUCAUUCGCAACGCGUAUAACAACGAGUGAUUUAAUUUAAUAAUAUCAAGUAAUUAUUACUAAUAAUAAUAAUACUAACAUUAUCUUAUAAUAAUAAUAACGGCUCAAUAUUAAAAAUCGAGGUGUUACAAAAUGAAUGCGUUUGAUUUGCUAAAAAAUGAAGAACAUGACAGAACAACUCUAGUUGUCCAAUGUUUGAUUUGUAAAACUGAUUCAGGUACAGGACAAACUGGAGGCAACGGACAGGACAAAAACUCAUAUUUUUGUCCCUCACCAAACCACAGCACAACUUUUUGUCCCACGUACAAGUUGUCUAAAAUACCAAAAUAGCAUUUUGUCCCUCAAAAAUCGUAUAAAACAAAAAAUUACUCAAUGCCAUAAAAAAUUUGUCAUGUACUGUUCUGCCUUGUGUUGUACUGUUCUAUCUUGUACUGUUCUGUCCGAUACUUACUGUUUUGCAAACCAAACACACCCGAAGUUUCAUUGGUCAAACAUAAUGUUUGGUCGGUACACAUGGUCGACUACCUUGCCAAAUGAUAAGAUGCUACAAAGACAAUUGGUGGUGAGGUGCAUCAAUACCCUGAUUAAUAGUGUUGACCGGACAUUCUCACUCUGGUUUGACGUUGUGGGUGUGAGUUUCAGGUGGAGCUUGCCAGUUUGUAUAAAAAAUAAUGUGAGAGAUAUGCACAUAGUAUUUUAUUCAGAAAAAAAGAUAUGCACAUAGUAUUAAUUAGAUGAUACAAUUGAAAAUAAUUAAAAUUACAUUAAAAACUGAAAAUGAUAAUAUUUUUAGUCUUUCUUUUAGGUUGUAAAGCUAUUAUUGGAGGAAGGAAUUUGUGUUUUUUCUGUUAAUAGGUGAAGUAAUUUGUAAUUGCAAGAUUUUUUUUUUUUUUUUUAAUAAAUUCUAAGAUAUGUUUGUUUCUUCGUCUACCGACUAAUAAUAUAUAUAUAUAUAUAUAUAUAUAUAUAUAUAUAUAUAUAUAUAUAUAUAAAGUAAUAUUUCAUAAUAAAAAUUGUAUUGAAUGAAGGCAUUAAUGUUUGUUGACUCUAAGAAGAUAUAAAAUUGUUUUUUUUUUUUUUAAGGAAGGAAGGAAUAAAAUUGUUACUAUAUUAAAAUAUUUGCUUUUCAUUGAAUAUUCUACUCAAAGAGAAAAAAUCACUAAAUAUUAAUUUCUUAUUAAUAUUUUGAUCAAGAAAUUAAUUAAAUAUCAAUUAUUUAAUUACUAGACCUGUUUUAAAUAUAUCCAUAAUUUAAGGGUAUUUUUGUUUCAAUUAUUAGUCAGUUAUUUAAAAUUAUUAAUAUUUUGGAAAGUCAAUGACCUGUUUUAAAAUAAGGAUAUAACCAUAUGUUAUUUAUUUGUUUCAAUUAUUUUAGAGUGUACGUCGAAUGAGUUAUUUUUUAAAAUAUAACUUAUACUUCUUAUAACCAUUUACAUUGCAAUAACUAAUGAGGGAAAGCUCAUUGACUUUUAAAACAUAAUAUUAUGACUUCCUUUAAAAAAAAAUAUUAUGACUAUUCAGAUGUUAUAUAUACAUGUUGUAUAGGUUACACUGACAUGCAUCACUCUUAAAUUAUUCUCAUAAAUUGUUUUUCUUUUACAAGAAGAUCGUAUACAAAAAUGAAUCACAAGAAUAAAUAUUGGGUUGCAUUGAUAGCUUCAAUAUGGAUGAGUGUAACUGAUAAUGUUUUUGCAGAAGGUGAGUCUACAACAGGGAAGAAAUGGGCCUUUCUAGUUGCAGGAUCGAAUGGUUACGUGAAUUAUAGGCACCAAGCCGAUAUUUGCCAUGCCUAUCAAAUAUUAAAAAAAGGCGGUCUUAAAGAUGAAAACAUCGUUGUUUUCAUGUACGAUGACAUUGCCUAUAAUCCUCAAAACCCUAGGCGCGGCGUUUUAAUCAAUCAUCCAAAUGGUUCCGAUGUUUAUAAUGGAGUUCCCAAGGUACAUAUAUGUCUCCAUCUCUUUCUUCGUAGUUCUAUAUUUUUUAUUAAUUUUAAAUUAAGUAAUACUAACGAGUUUUUUUGGAGUACUCUUUAAUGGUGUUAAAUUAUAAGUGAUACGCUCAUGUAUUGUGAAACUUGUAGGAUUAUAUCGGAGAUUAUGGAAAUCUGGAAAACUUUUUAGCAGUGCUUAGUGGUAAUAAAAGUGCUACAAAAGGAGGUAGUGGUAAGGUUCUGGAUACUGGCCCUGAUGAUACCAUUUUCAUUUUCUACACAGAUCAUGGAUCUCCUGGCUCAAUUGGUUAGUAAUAUUAUGUUUAUAAUGACAUUCUUUUUUGAUAUAUACAAUUUGAUAAAUUUAUAAAACUUUAGUGUAAAGAAUAAUAUUUUAUCUCUUAUAAUAACAUUCUUUUUCAAAUAAUUAUUUUUAUCAUUCCACCUCUUUAAUUCUCUUUUUUCUGUUUUUUUUUUUUUCUUUUCUAUUAGGUUUAAAUAUUGCACUCGUCCCUGCAAAUAUGGCCCGAUUAAGUUUUCGUCCCUGUAAAAAAAAAAAAUUGUUUUUGAUCCCUGCAAAAUUUUUUUGUUUUUGGUCCGGAGACUAUUUUCAAAAACAAAAAAAAAAAUUUGCAGGGACCUUUUUAAAAAACAAAAUAUUUUACAGGGACCAAAAACUACAAAAUGCGUUCAAUCAGCGUGCGCCAUGUAGGCAUUUUGGUGACUUGUCAUGACUUAAAUGGGUCCAGGGGUAUUUUUAAAAGACAGAUUUUUUUGCGGAGAUUGAUUUCUGAAUUUUUAUUUUACAAGGACCAAAACUUAAACGAGCCAUAUUUGCAGGGACGAAUGCAAUAUUUAAGCCUUUCGUUUAUAUAUCAGGUAACCAAAAAAAAAACUUUUAUUUUGGUGGGUAUAUUUUCUUAUUUUCUAGAUGAUCUGUUUGUUUAUGAGUAGGCAUACCAGAUGGGGGUCUUCUUUAUGCCAAUGAUUUCGUAGACGCGUUGAAGAAGAAACAUGAUGCUAAAUCCUACAAGAAGAUGGUGAGUUUAAUCGAAUUUUUUGAAUGGAUUCACAACAAAGUAAUUUCUAUGCAUCAUGAUUUAAAUUAAAUAUACUAUACAUUCAAUCGAAUCAUAUCAAGGUGUCACUUUUUAGGUUAACUCCAAAAACCUCAGUUUUAGGUGAAAUUGAUAUAUGUCUUAAUAAAAAAAAUUGAAGACUACUAAAUUAUUCUUUUUUUUUUUUUUACCAAAUUACUAAAUUAUUCUAGAAAUCAAUGUUUUUAAAAUCGGACUGAAGAUGAACCGUUGUGACUUCCGAUUCUCGGUUUAACUGGUUCAACCAAUUAAACCGUUAUAGAAUCGAUUGAACCUGAUAUCAAUUAAAUUAAUAAAUAAUACAUAAUAUUAAAAUCUAAGAUUUUUUGAAAAUCCCGACUUAAAUCCUAAAAUUCAUGAUUUUGGGAUUUUCUUCACCUUCAACGACUCAAAUCCAUAAUAGAAUUCUAAAAUAGGCAAAAUUCAUAAUUUUGAUUGCGAAUUUACGAUUUCUUAUAAACUAAGUCAUUUAUGACUAUAUACCAAUUAUUUAUAACAUAUUUAGUUUUUUUUUUUUUGGUAAAAUCCAUCGAUUUUGAUUGUAAUUUUACAAUUUCUAUAUCAAUUUUACAGAAGUAGUUGAGUAAAACCCUUGAAAUUUGGUUGCGAUUUUACGAUUGUCGAUUUUGCUCUUCUCUUUUGACGUGAAGCAAGAUCCCAAUUUUGACAACCUUGAGUAUAUCAUCGACUUCUCCUUCUACCCUAAAAUCUUCUAACGCCAACUCCACCCCGCUCCACCAACACUUGACCCUAUCCUACACAUAUCUGCAACAAACACAGAGCUAUUUUAAGAUGACUCAAAAUCUUUUAAACCUUUUACACAUACCAUAGUUUCCCCAUCGCCAUUCUCACCAAAUUGUCAUCAAACUAGUUGCCAGUACUCAUCCCCACCCCUCCUCUACACCUUGUAAAUUGUCAAUUUUAUAGACACAUCACUACCCCGCCCUUCACAUGACCUCCCUCCAACCCAUAAUGAACAGUUAAAACUUUAAACCUCAAACCACAUGAUCCAUAUGGAACCUUCAACACCAUUUACAUAAUAGAGAUAAGUUAAAUUCCCGCACUCUAUGAACUCCCAAAUUACCACUAUUUCGAUCAAGACACAUCUUCUCCAACUUAACCCAAUGAACUUUUCUAACUUCCUUACUUUCUAUACACAACAUUAAAUAAGAAUUUAAGGGAAGAAAUUAUACAUAUGGCAGCCUUGAAAAAGGUCAAAGUAAACAGGAAAUAAAUUAUGAGAAAUGAUAUUUGUACAAUUAUUUUUGACAAUUUUGUGACAAUUUUCUCUCUCAUAUUUGCAUUAAUUAUAUUUUUAUUUUUUCUUUCUAUUGUUUUUGUGUUUGUGUCAAUAUCUCUUUUUCUUUGUAAAAUUAUAAUUGUCUCAAAAGUUAUUAAUAAAUGGUUGUUUAAAUAACAUAACUCUAAAUUAAUUAUGUGAGUAUCACUUUCAUAAUAUUUAGUAGACUAAUUUUAAAAAAUAAGAUACAUAUAAAUCAUACUCAAUACGUUUUUAGUACUUUCAACAAAAUAUAGUUACUUGAAAACGACCUCAAAUUUAAUUAGUAAACUUAUUUGAUUACCAUUGGAAAUUUGGAAGGAAAAGUUUCUGAUUAUUGUACGAAGGAAAAGUUUCUGAUUAUUGUACACACUACACAUGUACAAUAAAGUUAAGGGACGGCAUAAUGAUAGAUAGCAUAUGACUUUAUUUAAAAUAUACUAUAAGUAUUGUUGUCAAAAUCCCAACUUAAAUCCUAAAAUUUAGGAUUUUGCGACUUUCUUCACCUUCAGCGACUAAAAUCCAUAGUAGAAUCUUAAAAUAGGCAAAAUCUAUCGAUUUUGAUUGCGAUUUUACAAUUUCCUAUAUUGAUUCCACAAAAGUCCUUGAGUAAAAUACUUCAAUUUUGAUUGUGAUUUUAAGAGUCCCAAUUUUGCUAUUCUCUUUCCACCUGAAAUAAAGUUCUGAUUUUGACAACCUUGACUACAAGUUUCUUAACUGUUUCGUUGCUUAUUUUUAUUUAUUCAAUGAAAGUUGCAUUGCUUAUUUUAUUUAAUGAAAUAAAAAUAGGUGAUAUACAUGGAAGCAUGUGAAGCUGGGAGCAUGUUUGAAGGUCUUCUUCCAAAUGAUAUAAACAUUUAUGUAACUACUGCUUCGAAUAAAUCAGAGAAUAGUUACGGAUUUUACUGCCCAAACUCAUAUCUUCCUCCACCACCUGAGUAUGAUAUUUGUUUGGGAGAUCUCUACAGCAUUUCAUGGAUGGAAGACAGGUACUUUUUUUAUUGUUUUUUAGGGGGAACGAACACAGGUAUUUUUAAUUGUUAAUUAGAUAAUAUGGUUUCAGUGUUACAUACAAUUUAUAUAUAUAUAUACUAUUACCAUUCAGUUUACAAUACCAACUAAACUUUGUUUGUAACUCUGACCGUCCUUACAAAAAUGGAGGCUCGGCUCUCAAUUUUUUUAAAAGAGCAAAAAAAAAUUAUAAUGUUUUUUAUUUUAUAUUUUUAAAGAAUAAUUAUAGUGUUUGUUGUUUGAGCUUAUUGGAAGAAAAGGAGAUAGUAUUUAGGAUAUAUAAACCUCAAAUCCAUAAAAAUUAUGCAAAAAAAGGCCCUAUAAUGCUGGAAAAAUAAAUAAAUGAUAAAAACAUAAAAAUCAGCCCUCACAAGAAUUGAAGCAGAAUACAUAAGUUCAACAUCCCCAAGAUUUACCACUGGUGUACGCCUUCAAUUUUGUUAAUACUACAAUGUUAUUUGUAUAUAUUAUAUUUUCAGUGCAUUAUAUAUAAAAAAACAAAAAAAAAAUAUUUUGGGCCCCAAAAUUGGGGAGGCCCAGCUCAGUAGAGCUGUUUGAGACGGCCCUGGUUUCAGUGUUACAAACAAUUUAUAUAUAUAUAUAUAUAGGAGUUUGCUAGAACACACCUACUGGUUUUUAUGUGGAAGUGUUUUAGCAAAGCUAUACCUUAAGGUGUAUUUAACCACUUUUUAGUUAUUCACUUGCUAAAAUACUCCUUCUAAAAACUAAGUGGGUGUAUCCUAGCAAAUGCCUAUAGGAUUUGCUAGAACACACCCACUUAUUUUUGUUAGAAGGUGUGUUAUAGCAACAUACACCUUAAGGUGUAUUUAUUAACUUUUUAGUUAUAACUUGCUAAAACACUCCCACAUAAAAACUAGUGGGUGUGUUCUAGCAAAUCUCAUAUAUAUAUAUAUAUAUAUAUAUAUAUAUAUAUAUAUAUAUAUAUAUAUAUAUAUAUAUACUAUUACGAUUCAGUUUACAAUACCAACUAAAUUUUGUAUACGUUUGAAAGUACCAGCUGGAUUUCAUAAAGUCUCUUGGUUAAAAAUAAGUUAAUAGUCCCUUUUUUUUUUUUUUAAGAAGUUAAUAGUCUCUUAGUAGAUAGUUAAUAGAUAGUUAUAUUCUUAUUCUAUGCAUAAGUCUUGAAAAUGGCUUGAUGUAAUUACUUUAUUAUUCUAUCAAUUUUUUUAAUUUCAUCUUUCUUUCAAUUUUUUCUUCAUCCUCUCUUGUGGGAGAUGUUUCUUGAUAAGUUUGUGAAUAAUGCAGUGAGAAAAAUGACAUGACAAAAGAAAUUUUGAAAGAACAAUAUGAAACUGUAAGUAUCAAAUAAUUUUUCCUUUUUUUUUAAUUAAUACUUAUUAUAUUUGUCAAUUAAAUUCUAUGGUGUAAUGCACAGGUUCGCCAAAGAACAUUACUUUCUCACGUGUUGCAAUAUGGUGAUUUAAAUAUCAGCAAUGAUACUCUAAUUACAUACAUUGGUGCAGACCCUACUAAUGUUAAUGAUAACUUCAAUGUCACUAGUACUACAAAUGUGUUUUCCUUUGAUGACUUCAAGUCUCCAAAUCCUACAAGAAAUUUUGGCCAAAGAGAUGCUCAUUUAAUUUAUCUUAAGACCAAGGUAAUUUUUGGUUCAAUAGUUUGUUGUACAUACUAAAGUUUUAAAUAGGGGUCGCUAUAAUAAUUAUGGUCGUAUCACGAUAUUUGAUGUUGAGGAAAAUCAUAGUUAAAUAUUGUCGAUGCAAUCUCAAUUAGCAGCGGCGAUGCAGUUUCAGCGACAUUAAAAGUUGUUAAAUAUAUUCUUUUUAAAUUGUUUUAGCUGGGAAGGGCUUCAAGUGGUUCGGAAGAUAAGUUAAAAGCUCAAAAGGAGUUAGAAGUUGAAAUUGCUCGUAGGAAACAUGUAGAUAACAAUGUCCAUCAAAUAAGCGAUCUUUUGUUUGGAGAAGAGAAAGGCUCCAUUGUAAUGGUCCAUGUUCGUGCAUCUGGUCAACCUCUUGUCGAUAAUUGGGAUUGUUUAAAGACACUUGUAAGUAUGGAUAAAUUCUUCAACAUUGUCACCAUAUCAAUUUUUCAGGCUCAAAUCUCUUACCAAUUUUUUGUAAAUGUGCACUCUCAAGCAUAUAUGAUUUUAAAUGAAAUAUAUGUUGAUUAAUAAUCAUGUUUUCUUAAUAUUUUAUGCAGGUAAAAACUUAUGAGAGUCACUGUGGUACCCUAUCAAGCUAUGGAAGGAAAUACUUGAGAGCCUUUGCUAAUAUGUGUAAUAAUGGUAUCACUGUAAAGCAAAUGGUUGCAGCAUCAUUACAAGCUUGUCUGGAGAAAAACUAAGAUUUUCAAAACUCUCUUCAAGAAUGUAAUAAUUAUUAUAUCGUUGAAUUAAACUGCAGUUCAAUCCUUGGUAUAUCAUCGUUCUUUUUGUAAUUUAUGACCCAUGGUUAUAUUAGUGUUUACAUGCCUGAGUUAUCCAUAAUGGUUCGAUUUUACUCUUAUAAAAUUGCUCAAAAACUACACUAGCCGUAGCUAACUGGGCUCAGCCUUUCCAGCGACAGUUAACUGUCAUUGGACACUUUUAAGAUUGAUUCGAUCACUUUUUAAGUCGGUUUAACCGAUCUUAAAAGCGUGUAACUAACUGCCGCUGGAAAGGCCUAGCCACAGUUAACUGUCGCUGGUGUAGUUUUUGUGGUUUCCGCAAUUUAUUUACAUCUUAUAGUCCUUUGCUACCCUCAUGUUCAUUUUUAUCACAAUAAAAAUGCCAAGUCAUAAAAUAGAUUAAGGGUGUGUUUGUUUCAAGUUUACCAAAUUUAUUCCUAGGAAUAACAUUCCUUGGAAUAUAAAGAUGAGAAUUUUAUUCCAAGGAAUUUAGGAAAAAUAUGUUUGGUUAGCUUUAUAAUAUUCCUAGGAACCAUAAAAAUAGGGAUUAUAAUAGGUAAACUAUUUAUGAAUUUAUUCCCAUCUCCAUGGGAACUUUAUUCCCACCCUUUUCCUUGGGAAAUUUUUUCUAUUCCCAGGAACAUUUUAUACCAAGGAAUAAAUUUUAGUAAACUUGUAACAAACAUAGGCAUAUACAUUUCUAUCAUUUUAUUCCCGGGAAUCAACAAUUAUAACUUGAAACAAACACACCCUAAAACUAGUUCUAUUUACAAUAGAACAACAGAAUAAAAGAAUGUUCAUUCAUUUAAAUUAUUUUAAUUACACUUUUUUCUUUCAGUGUCUACAUUGACAUUGUCACACAACUCAUUUCCUCCAUGAGUUUCCCAAUUUUGUUGAAGGUAUGGCCUGAGAUCUAACUACCAGACCUCUCCAACAUUAUAAGCUUCAUUAGAAAUUCUAAAAUUCGAUCUCCUUCAGGAACAAAGGUCUAUUACAAACAAUACUUUCAUUCCCUCUUCACAAAUCGUCCCUGCAAAAUGUACCAACAAGAAGAAUUUCAGUUAAAAACAGAUCUCUAGUAAACCAAAUUCUUCAAAUUUAGGAUAUUUUGAGGACUGAAUAGACAGGCAUGCAAAUGCGCGUAAUAAUCAUACGGUCUACUUUCGCUUUUUGUAGAUCGUAUUUAAAAUUUAGACUAAACCGAAAACCUUCGGUUUAGUCCAUAAACUAUCAUUUUAGUUUCUAUCAGAUUAGCAACAAAUAAUCUGUGGAGAAACAAGAUAAUUUCGCUUUUUACAACCAGAUUUUUUUCCAUAUAUAUCAGUAAGAAUCAAAGGAUGAUCAAAAAAAAAAAAAACAGCAUGAAUCAAAGGACUGAUCACUUUAUAUAGGUGGUUCAGAUUUUACUUCUCAGAUCAACCAUCAACCAUAUGUUACAUGUGCCACACUUCUCUAUGAAACAUCUAGUUCUGUCAAAUAUUUAACUUUUACUACAUAUGCCUACAAUUCAACAUUGGACCUAGAAACCAACAGGUCCACAACAGACAGGUAGGCCACCAUAGCCCCAAAUACAGGAGUGCCCUUUUUGUGUAAUCAAUGGGACAAGGUCAUGAAACACUUUAUGCUAGUAUAUAAUUGACUCAUAAAAUUGAGUUUCAAUUCUGAUCCUCUCGACUAGCUUCGGCAUUUAGAGCUCUUAACAUGUACCUUCAUCGGCCUUAUGACAUAUUGAACAAUAUUAUUUAAAUGAGACUUAAAUAUGUUUUAGUCCUACUGUUGUAAGAUUAAUUAUGUUCUUCUUUCGUAGGUAAACGUUAGUUGUUAGUAAGUUAUAAGUUAGUAAACUCUGGAACUUUUUCUCAAACUUCCACUUGAGCUACGCUUUAAUUACAAAAAAAUUGUAAUGUUACAGGUAAAGAAAGAACUACAACUUGCCUCUAGAUCCACUUCCUCCUAUUUCCCUCUCCAUCAUCCUAUCACUAGUCACUCCCCCUACUAUUAACCCCACAGGCCAUGUUAUGGUGUUGGAGUAAAAGAUGGCCCAGUAGGGAAUACCUCACAUUGUUAAAAUUAAAUGUACUAGAUUUAACCCAGAUUAGUCGGUCCUUUUCUGUAUACCGAUUUUCGAAACAAAAUUGAACUAGCUAUAAUCUCUAAAAUUCCAGAGGUGGAUAUACCACCACACAGACACACACUCAAAAAUGAUUCCUUCCUUGGUAAGAAACCGGGUUAUGCUUGUAUCUACUUUGAGUAGGAAGUGGCUCCGGUUUUGUGUUGGAGCAGAUAGCGUUGGGUGAAGGGUAGUUACGGGCCGAACUACUUAUGGUUGGUUGGCUGGUUGCCGGCCUUUGCUACUCUUUUUGAACGGUUGUACAAAUAUUUUUUCUUUUGUUUAUUUUGUAUGUUGGAAAGGGCUACAUCUAGUGCUCCAGUUGUAUGUUAUGUUGACUUUUUGUAGUUUUCGCUCCUCUUUUACUCCGGUCUCAAAUAUAAGCAAAAACAAGUCAAAUAAAGUUAGUGUAUUUGGUUAAAAAUGUAAACCAAAUCCAUCUAACUUGUUUAACUUUUUUUUUUGCUUAUAUUCGAAACUCAAGGGAGUAUAUCUUUGCCAUUCAAAAAAUAAAUAACACACACUCAGAAAGAAGUUUCCUUUCUUUUCAAGUAAUUUUUUCUAUGUAUUGUUCUUUUGUCUAGAACAAAACUUUUUCAAUUCAGAUCACAAUCAGAUAUGUCUAAAUGCAUGGUGACAUAGAAUUGAACACAGAAAAUUCAACAUAAUUGCAACUUGCAGUAGAAGUUAGCAAUAAUACCUUCAUCCUAGGCCGUUUUUCAGCAUUCAAUUUGCGAACUUCAUAACGGAUCCUCUUAGCAAAGAGUCUGCUUUGCCUCUUUUCUUUGUAUCUCAACAAACUUGCCUCUCUCUGCCCAAGCUUCCAACCCAUUUCUUGCUUCCAACCCAUUUCUUCCUUCACCUUCACAUUGUUAUUGUUAGCUCCAACACCUUCAGGAACUUUCCAUGUGUUCCCAUUAACAUCACACCCAUAACCAUCCCAUAAUACCUGUACAAAUACCAAAUAGCUUCAUCAAAACACUUCAUUUGAUAGUAACAUGUGGGUCCAUAAUAUAUUUCUAAAUUGAUGCAUAACCACCUAAAAGAUUUUCUCUUGUAUCUUACAAUUCAAUUUAUUGCAUUAACUUAGGAUAAACCUCGUCAAAAUAAAUGAGAUUCGAGGUAUAGUUGGAAAAAGAAUAAUGAAUGCAUCAAAAAAUUUGUACAUAGUCGGAGACAAAAACUUUUAGGGACGAAGGGAGUAUUUUUUUUUAGUUAAGUAGUCUAGUGGCUGGAGCUUACAGACAUUAUAAAUGUUGAGAAGUGAAAAGUUCGGAGUUCAAACCCCAACCAAUCCCUACCUACAUAUGCAUUGUCCAUACCAACCGAUCUAAACUCACGGGAACGGACAAAGGAAGUAUAUCACAACCAAAAGGGGGGCCGUUGAAAUAAGGGUAAAAGAAAAGCAAAAGGCUUUUAUAAUUCACCAUCGUGUUUUAAAUGUAAGAUCCUAAUCAAGCAGGCCCCUUACCAAAAAGUAACCAAUAAUAAAAAGUUGUCGGUGCCAAAAUGAAAUCACACUAUUCACCAUCCAAAAACAUGCACAAAAGAAAUUAAUAAUAAAUACCAUAUAUCAGUCACAUGCAUAAUCACAAUAAAAUAAAUCCGUGACGCAAUCUAAUUUUAGACACACACAUAACUCAAUAAAAAAAACUCUUAACUAAUAUAAUAUUUUCAUAACCAAUAAUUUGUUUUUAAACUGGUUGAUUCACUUUUUAAAAGGGUAAUCAAAGAAUUAAAGUCAAUAAUUAUUAAAAGAAAAAUGUUGAAAUUUCUUAGAUAUUAAAUCAUGAACUUGGUACAAGUUAGAAGAAUUUGGCUUAAAUCAUGAAGAAUUAUAGCUACAUGGAUAAUAAUAUGCAGAGGUUGAAAUUCGAGCUUCGAAUUUUCCACUUCUCCACAAUUAGGGUAUGUGAGCCACUAAAUUAGUUGGAAAAAAAUGAAAUUUGUCGGCUUGAAAUUUGAUAAAAUUACGAAAAUUUUGUCAACUUCAAAGCCGAUCGGAUCACGAUGAUACUGUGAUUUUGUCAAACUCAUUGCGAAUCAAAUAUGUAUAUGUAUGAACCAAAUCUAAAAAUUGAAAUAAAAAUUAGUAAAAUUACAUUGGGAAGGAUUCCACCAUUGAACAAAUCAGGAACAGUCUGAGGAGCCUCAUCACAACCAUCAACAUAAAGAGAACCUUUAUCAGACCAAGCAUUCAAUAUCCCAUCAUGAUCCAACUUCAAACUCAAAGACCCAAAAAACGACGUCGUUUCAAAUCCAAAACAAGUACUAUUAACUUCCUCCAUAAUUUCCUUCUUCGUUUCUUCAACAACUUCUGAAUAACUCACCCAUCUCUCUUCACUCUCUUCAUCAUUCCUCUUCCUCCUCAUUGCUUUCCUCACCAACCCUUGAUCCAUCACCGGACACUUCAUCACUGACAAUGACUCCUCCUCUUCCUCCGUCGUUGUCAACGUUGUCGAUUCAUUUUCUAGAAGACCGUUUAGCGUUGCUCCACCGUCUGAUGUGAAGAGUAACGCUACAUUGUUUUCUUCGUGCAUGUCGUGUUCUGUAUCGUGAUGAUGAGCAAACAAAUUCACUUGAUUUUGUUGUUGUUGUUGUUGUUGUUGUUGUUCUUGUUUUGGUGUUUUUUUGUUGUUGCUGUUUUUGGGUUGGUCUUUGUUUUUUUCUGUUUUUGAGAGCUGUAAACGUAGACUAAGAUACUUUGGUUUUUUUCUUUUUGUUUUGUUUCUACGUGAUUUUAGUGAAGAGGAAGAGGAAGAUGAAGAAGGUGAAAUUGAUGAACAUAUAUUUUUUUUGGUUUGUUUCUUUCUCUUCUUCAUAGUAAUAGAUUUUGCUUUUCUUUUUGUUUUUGUUGGUGAAAGAGUACUACUGUUCUUGUUGCACAUCACUCACUUACACAUACACACACUGUUAGCUAACAAAACUACAAAACUAGUUUCUUUCAAGUUUCAAGCACAGUUACCAAACUAGCUUUUAUGAUGAGAAAAUGGAAGAGAGUAUAAUAAUGGAGUGGGGAGAGAAAAGUGAGCAAAAAGGGUGUGACUUUUGUUGAGAGAGGACACUGACCUAAGAGAUGAUGAUGUGAUGUGGGGCCCAUUGGACACGUGGGGUGUUGUGAUUGGUUAAAUCAGUGGAUUCUAAUGUUAUCUGGAUUUCGCUUUUGGGAAGAGAUGAGGUGAUAAUAGAUUGGGUUAAAAAAGUUUUGGCAAUCCUUUAAUGGUAGUCUAGAUUACUCGAUUAUCUUCCUCGUCCUGUGUCAAAUCAUUUUUUAAUAUUUACUAUUAAUGGGUUGUUAAUUUAUCUAAUACUUCCUCCCUCCCCAAAUAUAAAAUCAUUUAACAAAAAUUGUUUACCUUUGAAUAUUUAGUUAACUUGAAUUCAAAUGGUUAAUGUGUUUCAUUUAAGAAAUAAUUAUUUAGAAAAAUUUAAGUUUGAUUUUUGAAUGAAACAAUUUUGAUUUCAAUCAAACUUUAGAUUACUAGAAAUAUAUUCCUCUACGAACCAAUAGUUAACACCAACAAAAAAAUAUAAAACAAUCAACUAAUUUCUAGAUAUAUUUAUUAAAUUUUUUUCAAAAAUAUAUCGCUUAUUAAUAUUAUCAAUUUGUCUUGAAAUAUGAAAAUAACAAUCAAUACAUUUAUAUCAAAAAGUAUAAUUUAGUAAUAAUCACAUAAAUUUCAGACAAAUUUAUUACAUCAACAACUUUUUUUUAAUGGAUAAUGUUGAAUGGUACGGGAUUGUUGGCUACGAAAAAUGACGAAUGCUUAAUUGCUUAUUUUCAAUGCAUAAAUCCAUGUAUUCACAUUAUAUUUGCUAACAAUUUCAUUGCCACUACCCCCGAAGAUUUCAGUCAAACAACAACUAACUCAAUUUUUUCUUUCUUUACAAAUAAUACUAAACCAGUUUUUUAAUUCCUUAAAUAUUGGUGAAGUGGGCAUCCGUGAAUUUUCGUGAGAAAAACUUCCCGUACUAUAUAGCACUACUGUUUUUUAAUAAUCGUAAAUUUUGUCACACGUUCUUAUAAAAUAAUCACAUAAACAACUUAUUUUAAUAUUUGUAAUUUUUGUCACAUAUUCUUAUAAAAUAUCACAUGUUAUUAUUGUUAGUGUAAACAGUAUUGUCAAAAUAAAAUAAAAAUCAACUAAUAUAAAAAAUUAUGAUCCUUGAAAUUUCAGUAUAUACUUUGUUCUUAGUCGAAUUAGGUCAUGUUCAAUGGUUGGGUUGAUUAUAUUUGAUAUCGUUAAUAGGUUGGGUCUGUUUUUGUCGUUGGAGAAAUGUCAUUCCGUGUUGACUAGGUUUCUGAAGGGAUAGUUUGUCGAAUCGACUUAUAUCGAAGAUUCAGAUCGCCGAAUUCGUUCUUAGUCCAAUCAGGUCAUAUUCAAUUGUCAGAUUGAUUAUAUUUGAUACCUUUAGUCGGUUGGGUACGUUUUGGUCAUCGAAUGAAUGUCAUUCCAUGUUGACUAGGUGUAUGAAGUAAUUGUUGGUCGGAUUGACUUAUACUGAAGAUUUUAUUCGCCGAAAUUCUAGUUCCUACUUCGUUCUUAGUUCAAUUAGGUCAUAUUCUAUGGUCAGAUUGACUAUAUUUGAUACUAUUAGUCGGUUGAGACUGUUUUGAUAGUCGGAGGAAUUUUCUUCCGUGUUGAGUAGGUUUCUUAAGGGAUAAUUUGUCAGAUUGAUUAUAUUAGAUAACAUUAGACGGCUGGGUUUAUUUUGGUGCUUAGAGGAAUGUCAUUCGAUGUUGACUAGGUUUCUGAAGGGAUAGCUUGUCGGAUCGACUUAUAUCGAAGAUUCAGAUCGCCGAAAUUCCAGUUUCUACUUCGUUCUUAGUCCAAUUAGGUCAUAUUUAAUGGUCGAAUUGAUUAUAUUUAAUAUUGUUAGUCGAAUGUGUGUGUUUCAAUCGUUAAAAAGUUUCUUCCAUGUUGAUUAGGUUUCUUAAGGGAUAGUUUGUCGGAUUAACUUAUACUGAAGGUUCCAAUUAUCGAAAUUUGAAGCCUUGCUUCAUUCAUAAUCCAAUUUGGCCCCUGAUUCGGGAAAGGUGGAUAUGUGUGAGGAAGGAAAGAUAUUGUCGAUGAUGGUAAGAUCCAUUAGUCUUAAUUUAUCUUACACUUAAAAAUCAUGAUCCAUUGUGGACCAUAUAUGGUACCAUGGUACUGGUCCACGGAAGCACUCACCUAUAUACAUUUACCUUCUUUCAAAAGCAAUAACGGAUUUCAAUUCAAUAAUUUUCGAGUCUAAAUUUUUCUUUCUUUUCUUUUGUAGCAAACUAUCCGGUUUUCAUGAUAAUAGAGCUUUGUUAAUCUGAAAUUUAACUCGAAGCUAAAUAAAAUAUGUUCAAAAAUUGUCUCACAUAUAAAUUGAAUUUAAUAUCUUUUAAAUAACCCGUCCAUCCGUAGAAUAAAUUAAUCACUUAAACACAAUUAUUUAGUUUCUUAAACUUCCGUCUAUCAUUAGAUUUUUUUUUUGACAAAGUCUACCAUUAGAUUUAGCUCUUGGAUAUAUAUUAUAAUACAAAUAUUUAACAUUUUUCAUAAAAAAAAAAAUGCAUUUUAAUUUUCGCUUAUGAAAAGAAGGUAUAAGCGGAUAUCAAACACCGACAAAAUAAAUUUAUUUUAGGCUUAAAUAUGAUAUUAGUUCCUGCAAUUUGGGUCGGUUUUGAAUUUCGUCCCUGUAAAAAAAUAAAAACUUUGAAUUACAUAAAAAAAAAUUUGUUUGAAAAAGAUCCCUGACCCCACAUUUUUUAUGAUGUGGCAUGUUCUUGCCACGUGGCAGUUGCUGACUGUGCAACUUAUGCCACGUGGCGCUUACGUGGCAUGCCACAUAAUAUUAAAUUUUUAAAAAGAAUUUUUAAAUUCUAAAAAUUGUUUUUAAAAUUUAAAAAUAUAAAAAAAAUUAAAAAAUCUGAAAAAAAUAUUAAAAUUAUUUUUAUCAUAUAAUUUUAAAAAAAAAAUUUAUUUUUUUUAAAAUUAUAAAAUUUCUUCUGAAAAAAAAAAUGAAAUGAUUUUUUUAAUUUUUUUUUAAAAUAUGAAGAAAAAAAUAUAAUUUUCAAAUUAAAAAAAAUUAAUGGUCGAAAAUUUAAUUUUAAUAGUUUUUUUUCGAUUUUUUUAAAUGAUUUUUGAAUUUAUUUUCAUAUUUUUUUAAUUUAAAAAAAUAAUUUUAAUUUUUUAAUUACGUGGCUGCCAUGUCAGCGCCACAUGGCAAAACCCAUGCCACAUCAUCAAAAAUGUGGGGCCAGGGACCUUUUUCAAACAAAAAAAAUUUUACAGGGAUGUUUUUCAAACUUUUUUUUUUACAGGGACGAAAAUCAAAACGGGCCCAAAUUACAGGGACGAAAAUGAUAUUUAAGCCUUUAUUUUAUUAUUACACCUCAUUCUUUAUAAUCCAUGGUUUUAUUUUACUCACGUGAUGUUUGUGAUUUGUACUUAUGAACUAAUUUUAUUUUGAAAGGGAUCAUGUAUCUUUUUUUUUUGGCAAAAUUACACUUUUAGUCCUUUAACUUAAUUUCAUGUAACAAUUUGGUCCUUUAUCUUUUUUUCAUUUCAAUUUGGUCCUUUUUGUCCAUUUUCAUAUGAAUUUUUAAGCUUAAAAUUCAUGAUUUUAUUUUCUUAUGGUCCUUCAAUCUUCAAAUCUAUGAUCAUCGUCUAUGUUUGCAUAAGAAUAUUAGAUUUGAAGCUUGAAAAUGUACAUGAAAAUGGACAAAAAGGAUCAAAUUGAAAUGAAAAAAAGAUAAAGGACCAAAUUGUUACCUGAAAUUAAGUUAAGGGACUAAAAAUGUAAUUUUACCUUUUUUUUUUUGAAGAAACUAAAAUGGGAUAUAUAAACAAUAAUGGAGACGCCUCUGAAGCACAAGGUGUACUAAAGAGGAAGCUCAAAAAACAAGAUGUCUAUCAGAAUUACAAGAACGAACAUUACCCUGUACCCAAACAAAACAAAUGGUCAGACCGCCACUGCUCACAACCAUACACAAAAGAGGCGCUAUUCGCCUUUAGUCAUUAAUAGGAGUGGAAUUUAACUUUUUCCGUAAGCCCCGUAAUGGAACAGUGAACGUUAUUAAAAUUUAUAUUAUUGCGUUCUUUCCAUAUGAGCCACACACACAACAACCACAACAGUUGAAGAAAAGAUCGACGACUUCUCGUGGCACCUAAGUAGUUAGUAAAUUGGGUGAAAUGAACACCUAUAACAUUAUGCUCAACACCUGCUAUACCAAGCCAUAACCUGACAUGCUGCCACAAGGAGCCAAAACAAUCACAAGUAAGGAACAAAUGUUGGGCGCUCUCCAGAAAGCCGCAGCCCGCCACACACGAAGAGUCAUCUGCUUGAAUAAUGUCGCGGUGCAAGAGUUUGGAUUUUGUCGGCAACCUGUCUCGAAGUAACCUCCAAGCUAAGAUAGAAACCUUUGAGGGAACCUGAUUGUGCCAAAUAAGAGUGUCGGAUUCAUCCACAGUAGAGGAGGCUGAGCAGAGAGCACCUGAUAACCUGAACGCACUAUGUAACCUGUAGUAAUGUCGGGUUGCCACUUCCAAGAAUCUGAAACAUUAAUCUGCAAAGUAACAUUAGAAAGUAACAACCUACACUCCUCUACCAUUUCCUCCUCCCACGCCCACAACCUCCGCCUCCACUGCCACGCCUCACCCCCUCUCCCCAACCUAACAAGAACAUCGAUGUUACUGAAUUCUGUAACACCCCGUUACCCAAAAGUAAUUAAAUAACAAAUAUAUAUCAGAGUAUUUCACCAAACGGGUAUGCUACAUUGCAAUUUCAAAAAUUCUUAAAUAGAAAAUGAAACUAUUUAAUUAAACCAAUUGAUAAAAUAUGAAAACAUAGCAGCGAAAUAGUUUUCAAUCCAACAACAGCCUACGGCAUUAAAGGCCUUAGCAUAAGUCAACAACAUUGUUCAAGAGACAAUAAAAGGCUCCACAUCACAAUUCCAAAAUUUGAUACAUGGAAGGAAAUAAACAAUAAAAUAAAUAAUAGUUCCCAUCCCACGUAUCAGAGCCCUAGACACGACAUUGAGCCACCACCAACUACUCAGGAUCACCUGCAAGUUACCCAUAGGAAGGGCAACAUUUUCAAGCAGAAGAGGUGAGAUUCACAACAAUAAAUAUAGAUAUUAAAAUCUUCAAUUGAAUCUAACACCCUAAUCAUCAAACACAUAAUAUAUAACUAUAUGUAUAAGUCACAAGCAACAACAACAUCAACAAUACACCACCAUCACAAUGAAUAUAUAAAUGCAUAUUCAACAUCAACAUCAACCAUCAGAUAAUAACUGCAAUCAACAACUAAGACUCAUGCACAUGACAUGACAACACUGCUAAGACACCAUCUUAGACUCCUCAAUGAAAUGCAAUAUGCAUGUGGUACCAAACAGGACCGAAGCCCUCACCGCUUUUGAAUGGUUAAAGCAUUCAUCAGGACCGAAGCCCUCACCGCUGUUGAGCAACUAGUACUCCAGGACCGAAGCCCUCACCGCUGUUUUAUGCAUAUGCAAUGGACCUACUUGUGUAUAUCUACAUACAACUGACCAUGCAAUGCAACUCAAUAUGACUCCACUUUAAUAAUAUGUAUGAUUCAACAAUUGGCAUACAUUUCAACCAUCAUCAGUAAUCAUUAAUCCAGUAGUUCAAUCAACCAAAAUAAUGCAUAAUUAUAUAUAACCAUGCUCAAAAACAACAACAUCAAACACUACUAUUCAAGUUAGCAAAACAACAUUCAGGAACUGUGCAGCUCGCCUCGCGAGCACAACUGCUCGCCAUGGCGAGUUCAAGGCGAACUCGAGGCGAGUGAACAUCAGGUGCUCUCGGGAAAAAUGACAUUUUCUCACUCAAAUCCAAAUUCUAAGUUCCCUAUUCAUCUUUUUAACCUAGAACUUUCACCAUUUAUCAUUAAUAUCAUCUAGGUACCUUAAACCAUCCCCAAAACAUCUUAUAACAACUUUUCAAAAAUCAAGUUUUAUCCAGGCUUGCUCGCCAUGGCGAGUUGGACUGCUCGCGAGGCGAGUGAUGAUGUUGCUCACUCGCGAGGCGAGACAUGAAUGCUCGCGAGGCGAGCGAUGAACAUCAGUACGAGCAGAAAACUGGUUUUACCCAAAAAUCCCAUUUUUCUUCCAAUCACUCCCCAAAUUAGUUUACAGAUAUAUAAUUAAGUGUUCUAUGCAACCAGAAACUAAUUCUAACAUCAAAAUCCUGCUUACAACAUCAAAAUCAUCAUUUUGUCAUAAAACCCCAAAAUCUCAAUUCCUCACCAAAACCUGUUAAACUCAAAAUCAGACUUUAAUAGCUACAAUACUGAAGUAAACCUCACCCUUACCUUAAUUCAGAA
rnacentral:lncRNA from 1 species